CAGCGCCGCGGUAAUACGAACCGUGCGAACGUUAUUCGGAAUUACUGGGCUUAAAGCGCGUGUAGGCGGGUGGGCACGUCGGACGCUGAAAUCCCCCGGCUCAACCGGGGAAGUGGCGCCGAUACGGCCGGCCUGGAGGGGGGUAGGGGGGCCUGGAACUUCCGGUGGAGCGAUGAAAUGCGUUGAGAUCGGAAGGAACGCCCGUGGCGAAAGCGAGGCCCUGGACCCUUUCUGACGCUGAGACGCGAAAGCCAGGGGAGCGAACGGGAUUAGAUACCCCGGUAGUCCCUGUCUCUUAUAC
rnacentral:rRNA from 1 species